rnacentral:rRNA from 1 species
GGGUUGUGAGGUUAAGCGACUAAGCGUACACGGUGGAUGCCCUGGCAGUCAGAGGCGAUGAAGGACGUGCUAAUCUGCGAUAAGCGUCGGUAAGGUGAUAUGAACCGUUAUAACCGGCGAUUUCCGAAUGGGGAAACCCAGUGUGUUUCGACACACUAUCAUUAACUGAAUCCAUAGGUUAAUGAGGCGAACCGGGGGAACUGAAACAUCUAAGUACCCCGAGGAAAAGAAAUCAACCGAGAUUCCCCCAGUAGCGGCGAGCGAACGGGGAGCAGCCCAGAGCCUGAAUCAGUGUGUGUGUUAGUGGAAGCGUCUGGAAAGGCGCGCGAUACAGGGUGACAGCCCCGUACACAAAAAUGCACAUACUGUGAGCUCGAUGAGUAGGGCGGGACACGUGGUAUCCUGUCUGAAUAUGGGGGGACCAUCCUCCAAGGCUAAAUACUCCUGACUGACCGAUAGUGAACCAGUACCGUGAGGGAAAGGCGAAAAGAACCCCGGCGAGGGGAGUGAAAAAGAACCUGAAACCGUGUACGUACAAGCAGUGGGAGCCUCUUUAUGGGGUGACUGCGUACCUUUUGUAUAAUGGGUCAGCGACUUAUAUUCUGUAGCAAGGUUAACCGAAUAGGGGAGCCGAAGGGAAACCGAGUCUUAACUGGGCGUUAAGUUGCAGGGUAUAGACCCGAAACCCGGUGAUCUAGCCAUGGGCAGGUUGAAGGUUGGGUAACACUAACUGGAGGACCGAACCGACUAAUGUUGAAAAAUUAGCGGAUGACUUGUGGCUGGGGGUGAAAGGCCAAUCAAACCGGGAGAUAGCUGGUUCUCCCCGAAAGCUAUUUAGGUAGCGCCUCGUGAAUUCAUCUCCGGGGGUAGAGCACUGUUUCGGCAAGGGGGUCAUCCCGACUUACCAACCCGAUGCAAACUGCGAAUACCGGAGAAUGUUAUCACGGGAGACACACGGCGGGUGCUAACGUCCGUCGUGAAGAGGGAAACAACCCAGACCGCCAGCUAAGGUCCCAAAGUCAUGGUUAAGUGGGAAACGAUGUGGGAAGGCCCAGACAGCCAGGAUGUUGGCUUAGAAGCAGCCAUCAUUUAAAGAAAGCGUAAUAGCUCACUGGUCGAGUCGGCCUGCGCGGAAGAUGUAACGGGGCUAAACCAUGCACCGAAGCUGCGGCAGCGACACUAUGUGUUGUUGGGUAGGGGAGCGUUCUGUAAGCCUGUGAAGGUGUGCUGUGAGGUAUGCUGGAGGUAUCAGAAGUGCGAAUGCUGACAUAAGUAACGAUAAAGCGGGUGAAAAGCCCGCUCGCCGGAAGACCAAGGGUUCCUGUCCAACGUUAAUCGGGGCAGGGUGAGUCGACCCCUAAGGCGAGGCCGAAAGGCGUAGUCGAUGGGAAACAGGUUAAUAUUCCUGUACUUGGUGUUACUGCGAAGGGGGGACGGAGAAGGCUAUGUUGGCCGGGCGACGGUUGUCCCGGUUUAAGCGUGUAGGCUGGUUUUCCAGGCAAAUCCGGAAAAUCAAGGCUGAGGCGUGAUGACGAGGCACUACGGUGCUGAAGCAACAAAUGCCCUGCUUCCAGGAAAAGCCUCUAAGCAUCAGGUAACAUCAAAUCGUACCCCAAACCGACACAGGUGGUCAGGUAGAGAAUACCAAGGCGCUUGAGAGAACUCGGGUGAAGGAACUAGGCAAAAUGGUGCCGUAACUUCGGGAGAAGGCACGCUGAUAUGUAGGUGAAGUCCCUUGCGGAUGGAGCUGAAAUCAGUCGAAGAUACCAGCUGGCUGCAACUGUUUAUUAAAAACACAGCACUGUGCAAACACGAAAGUGGACGUAUACGGUGUGACGCCUGCCCGGUGCCGGAAGGUUAAUUGAUGGGGUUAGCGGUAACGCGAAGCUCUUGAUCGAAGCCCCGGUAAACGGCGGCCGUAACUAUAACGGUCCUAAGGUAGCGAAAUUCCUUGUCGGGUAAGUUCCGACCUGCACGAAUGGCGUAAUGAUGGCCAGGCUGUCUCCACCCGAGACUCAGUGAAAUUGAACUCGCUGUGAAGAUGCAGUGUACCCGCGGCAAGACGGAAAGACCCCGUGAACCUUUACUAUAGCUUGACACUGAACAUUGAGCCUUGAUGUGUAGGAUAGGUGGGAGGCUUUGAAGUGUGGACGCCAGUCUGCAUGGAGCCGACCUUGAAAUACCACCCUUUAAUGUUUGAUGUUCUAACGUUGGCCCCUGAUCGGGGUUGCGGACAGUGUCUGGUGGGUAGUUUGACUGGGGCGGUCUCCUCCUAAAGAGUAACGGAGGAGCACGAAGGUUGGCUAAUCCUGGUCGGACAUCAGGAGGUUAGUGCAAUGGCAUAAGCCAGCUUGACUGCGAGCGUGACGGCGCGAGCAGGUGCGAAAGCAGGUCAUAGUGAUCCGGUGGUUCUGAAUGGAAGGGCCAUCGCUCAACGGAUAAAAGGUACUCCGGGGAUAACAGGCUGAUACCGCCCAAGAGUUCAUAUCGACGGCGGUGUUUGGCACCUCGAUGUCGGCUCAUCACAUCCUGGGGCUGAAGUAGGUCCCAAGGGUAUGGCUGUUCGCCAUUUAAAGUGGUACGCGAGCUGGGUUUAGAACGUCGUGAGACAGUUCGGUCCCUAUCUGCCGUGGGCGCUGGAGAACUGAGGGGGGCUGCUCCUAGUACGAGAGGACCGGAGUGGACGCAUCACUGGUGUUCGGGUUGUCAUGCCAAUGGCACUGCCCGGUAGCUAAAUGCGGAAGAGAUAAGUGCUGAAAGCAUCUAAGCACGAAACUUGCCCCGAGAUGAGUUCUCCCUGACUCCUUGAGAGUCCUGAAGGAACGUUGAAGACGACGACGUUGAUAGGCCGGGUGUGUAAGCGCAGCGAUGCGUUGAGCUAACCGGUACUAAUGAACCGUGAGGCUUAACCUUACAACGCCGAAG